ACAAACAACAUACAAAAACUCACUCUGUCUCCCAGGCUGGAGUGCAAUGGCACGAUCUCGGCUUACUGCAACCUCUGCCUCCCGAGUUCAGGAGGGCUCUGAGAGAUUUCAUUUCUGUCCUGCUGAUGAAGUCUACGUUCAUUCAGGGCCUGCUGUGGAAGACCAGCCCCAAAGUUGCUGAACAGAAGUCUUUUGAGAGUCAGCAGAAAUCUUCCACUUUGCAUGGUUCUCUUGAUGUGAAAUCAUCUAUAUAGCCCCAGAAUUGGAAAA
rnacentral:antisense_RNA from 1 species